ensembl:lncRNA
GGAAUGUCUAUAGAGAAUUUAAAAAAAAUGGAGCACUACAACUUAAAUAUGUACAGGCAGCAUAACUGUAGUGAAGGAUGGACAAGCAGGAACUGGAUCACCAUUUCAGGAGACACUGGCUCUUCAGAACAGAUCACCAUCCCAGGAGAUCUCUGUAACUUCAUCCAUGAGACCAGACACCAGAUGUAUGUCUUUCCAGUUGCUGUUAAAUCACCUCUGCUUGAAAAACUCUUGCAAGUUACCUUGCUGGGAAUCAUCAAACUUGCCAUUCUGGAGAAUACUGAUCAUUGUCA